rnacentral:rRNA from 1 species
GAUGAACGCUGGCGGCGUGCCUAAUACAUGCAAGUCGAACGGGGAGUAGCAAUACUCUUAGUGGCGAACGGGUGAGUAACGCGUUGGUACCUGCCCCGAAGCGGGGGAUAACGGACCGAAAGGUCCGCUAAUACCCCAUGUGCUCGGUAACGAGUAAAGGUGAAAACCACUUUGGGAGGGGCCUGCGUCCCAUCAGCUAGUUGGUAAGGUAACGGCUUACCAAGGCGAUGACGGGUAGGGGACCUGAGAGGGUGGCCCCCCACAAUGGAACUGAAACACGGUCCAUACACCGACGGGUGGCAGCAGUAGGGAAUAUUGGAAAGGGGCGAAAGCCUGAACCAGCAACGCCGCGGGGGCGAUGACGGCCUUCGGGUUGAAAAGCACUUUUGACUGGGACGGGGAAGGACGGUACCGGUCGAAUCAACCCCGGCGAACUCCGG